UACGGAGGAUCCAAGCGUUUAUCCGGAAUCAUUGGGUUUAAAGGGUCCGUAGGCGGUUUUGUAAGUCAGUGGUGAAAGCCCAUCGCUCAACGGUGGAACGGCCAUUGAUACUGCAAGACUUGAAUUAUUAGGAAGUAACUAGAAUAUGUAGUGUAGCGGUGAAAUGCUUAGAGAUUACAUGGAAUACCAAUUGCGAAGGCAGGUUACUACUAAAUGGAUUGACGCUGAUGGACGAAAAGCGUGGGGGAGCGAACAGG
rnacentral:rRNA from 1 species